CACUAUUAUAAUUUUUGCUUCAAUCAUCAAACAUAAUUUAUAAAACCCAAAAGGAGGAGGAAAGUCUAUUGAUUUUGCACAUUUUUUUACUCUUUUUAUUGUUCUUCCUUCCAAAUGUUCCAAGAUUUCUCCUUUUAUUAUUUACUUUUGGUUUCAAGAACUUCCUUCAGCCCAUUUUUAAGGGUAGGCCUGCUGGUGACAAAUUAUCUUAGGUUUAGUUCAUCUGAGAAUGCCUAGACUUUUCCUUCAUUCUUGAAGAAUAUUUUCACUGGAUACAAAAUUCUGGGUUGACAGUUCUUUCAUUUCAGGAUUUGAAAACUGCUGCACCCACUUACUUCUGGGCACCAUGGUUUCUUAUGAGAAACCUCCUGUCAUUCAAAUUGUUUUCCCCAUUUUGAAAGAUGUGUCUUAGGUAACAGAGCAUGGGACAGAGCCACUGCAGCCAUGCCCAGGGAGGGCCGGGGUGAGUAAGCAUUGUGAGGUUUUGGGCAGAACGUGGCUGCACUGUGCACGCGGUGAGGGAUCGAAGGGGGCCCCCAAAGACACUCGAAGAACAGUGGGGGCCCUGAAAAGUGCCAAUGCUGAGCCCAGACAGAUGGAAGACCUUGGACAAAUUCCCCGACACCCCUGAGCCUCGAUUUCCUCAUCUGAAAAGUGGGGUGGUGAUGACAGCACAUCUCAGAGGGCUGGGAGGACGAAGCCACCAAGUGACAGCUGCGAUGGAUCCACAGGGGCAGCAGCCGAGCAACCCGAGAUCUGCAGAGCCAUGGUGGGCCCAGCCCCAUCCUGCCCCCCAUGCAGCCAGUGAGAAGCCCUGCUGCUGGAGGGGAUGGAGCUACGGGGACCGAUCAAUUACACCACAGUGUGAGGUCUCUGUGCCUUCCAAACUCCAUCCUGAGUGUUUAUUGCCUCAAAAAUGAAGGGUGGGAGCCCCAAAGACCAAACAAACAGCUGAUGAGAGAGAGAGAGAGAGAGAGAGGGAGAGAGAGAAAGAAUGGGUCUGCACUGCAGCCUGUGCUAUAACAAGAGACAGAGGGACCCUCUUGACUGGGGUCUCCAGCUGAGAGCGGGGAGGCCCCCUGGGGAGGUCUCUUCCAAGGUCUGAGGAAGGAGGAGAGGUGGAUGGGGCCUUGGGAUUAGGGAGAUGGGGCGGGGCCACCAUGUGUUGGCUGUGGGGCCCUGGGCAAGGAGUUAACCUCUCUGUGCCUCAGUCUCCUCCUCUAUAAAAUGGGUAUGACAGACAGUAAUAGUCUCUCCACCCUUAAAGGGCCGUUGUGAAGAUUAAAGAAGUGAACAAUUGUUGGUGCUUGGAGCAAAGCCUGGCUCUGGCAGUGGGCUUUGUAUUUAUGUUUGGUCAGUAUAUAAGAGUAAAUGCUUAAGACCAGCUGGGGAACCACAGCGAGAUCCCAUCUCCACAAAAAAUAAAAUUAAAAAAAAAAAUUAGCCGGACAUGGUAGCAUGUGCCUGUGUUCCCAGCUA
rnacentral:lncRNA from 1 species